GUUUAAAUAGUUUAACACCAAAACCCUGGCUUUGUAAGCCAAAAAUGAUAAUAUUCUUUAAACA
rnacentral:tRNA from 1 species